UGGGGAAUUGUUCGCAAUGGGCGCAAGCCUGACGACGCAACGCCGCGUGGAGGAUGAAGAUCUUCGGGUUGUAAACUCCUGUCGAGCGGGACGAACACCUUCCGAAUCAAUACCUCGGAAGGCUGACGGUACCGCGAGAGGAAGCCCCGGCUAACUCCGUGCCAGCAGCCGCGGUAAUACGGGGGGGGCAAGCGUUGUUCGGAAUUACUGGGCGUAAAGGGCUCGUAGGCGGCCAACUAAGUCAGACGUGAAAUCCCUCGGCUUAACCGGGGAACUGCGUCUGAUACUGGAUGGCUUGAAUCCGGGAGAGGGAUGCGGAAUUCCAGGUGUAGCGGUGAAAUGCGUAGAUAUCUGGAGGAACACCGGUGGCGAAGGCGGCAUCCUGGACCGGCAUUGACGCUGAGUGAGCGAAAGCCAGGGGAGCAAACGGGAUUAAGAUACCCCGGUAGUCCUGGCCCUAAACGAUGAAUGCUUGGUGUGGCGGGUAUCGGAUCCCUGCCGUG
rnacentral:rRNA from 1 species